rnacentral:rRNA from 1 species
UGGGGAAUAUUGGACAAUGGGCGCAAGCCUGAUCCAGCCAUGCCGCGUGCGGGAAGAAGGCCUUCGGGUUGUAAACCGCUUUUGUCAGGGAAGAAACGCUCUGGGCUAAUACCCUGGGGUAAUGACGGUACCUGAAGAAUAAGCACCGGCUAACUACGUGCCAGCAGCCGCGGUAAUACGUAGGGUGCAAGCGUUAAUCGGAAUUACUGGGCGUAAAGCGUGCGCAGGCGGUUAUGCAAGACAGAUGUGAAAUCCCCGGGCUCAACCUGGGAACUGCAUUUGUGACUGUAUAGCUAGAGUACGGUAGAGGGGGAUGGAAUUCCGCGUGUAGCAGUGAAAUGCGUAGAUAUGCGGAGGAACACCGAUGGCGAAGGCAAUCCCCUGGACCUGUACUGACGCUCAUGCACGAAAGCGUGGGGAGCAAACAGGAUUAGAUACCCCCGUAGUCCCUG